rnacentral:rRNA from 1 species
CCUACGGGUGGCAGCAGUGGGGAAUAUUGCACAAUGGGGGAAACCCUGAUGCAGCGACGCCGCGUGAGCGAUGAAGUAUUUCGGUAUGUAAAGCUCUAUCAGCAGGGAAGAAGAUGACGGUACCUGACUAAGAAGCCCCGGCUAACUACGUGCCAGCAGCCGCGGUAAUACGUAGGGGGCAAGCGUUAUCCGGAUUUACUGGGUGUAAAGGGAGCGUAGACGGCGAUGCAAGCCAGAUGUGAAAGCCCGGGGCUCAACCCCGGGACUGCAUUUGGAACUGUGUGGCUGGAGUGUCGGAGAGGCAGGCGGAAUUCCUAGUGUAGCGGUGAAAUGCGUAGAUAUUAGGAGGAACACCAGUGGCGAAGGCGACUUUCUGGACUGUACCUGACGCUGAGGCGCGAAAGCGUGGGUAGCGAACGGGAUUAGAUACCCUUGUAGUC